rnacentral:rRNA from 1 species
UACGAAGGGGGCGAGCGUUGUUCGGAUUUACUGGGCGUAAAGGGCGCGCAGGCGGCGCAUUUUGUCAGGCGUGAAAGCCCCGGGCUUAACCUGGGAACUGCGUUUGAUACGGAUGGGCUAGAGUUCGGGAGAGGAGAGUGGAAUUCCCGGUGUAGCAGUGAAAUGCGUAGAGAUCGGGAGGUACAUCUGUGGCGAAGGCGACUACCUGGACCAGCACUGACACUGAGGCACGAAAGCGUGGGGAGCAAACAGG